rnacentral:rRNA from 1 species
CAUGGUCUUGACAGACCCUAAAAAGUUAAUACAACUUUCGACAACGGAUCUCUUGGCUCUCGCAUCGAUGAAGAACGCAGCGAAAUGCGAUAAGUAAUGUGAAUUGCAGAAUUCAGUGAAUCAUCGAAUCUUUGAACGCACCUUGCGCCCUUUGGUAUUCCGAGGGGCAUGCCUGUUUGAGUGUCAUUAAAUACCAUCAACCCUCUUUUGACUUCGGUCUCGAGAGUGGCUUGGAAGUGGAGGUCUGCUGGAGCCUAACGGAGCCAGCUCCUCUUAAAUGUAUUAGCGGAUUUCCCUUGCGGGAUCGCGUCUCCGAUGUGAUAAUUUCUACGUCGCUGACCAUCUCGGGGCUGACCUUGGUCAGUUUCAAUAGGAGUCUGCUUCUAACCGUCUCUUGAUUGAGACUAGCGACUUGCGCGCUAACUUUUGACUUGACCUCAAAUCAGGUACGACUACCGG